AAUUAGUUCAAUAUUAAGUUGGGCAAACAUUCAUAAUUUAGUAUCCUUGUGCAAAGUUUAUCAAUAUAUAUAUUAUAAGAAGGUGAUCGAUUAUUAUUACAUAGAUAUUAAAUGCACGACAGAAAAUCUACUUGUAAAGCACAGUUCGUUGUUAUUCUUUAAAAAAUAAAUGAAUAAAAAAGUACUAUUUAAAACAAUUUUCUAUAAUUAACUUUGAUUUUCAUGGCAAAAAUAUAUAUGUACUAUAUACAUGUGGC
rnacentral:lncRNA from 1 species